UUACGGGGACGAAAAUCUCACUUUUCAUGCAGUGCGUUGUAGUUGAGUUCUUUGCAGCUGCAUGUGCAGCGGCAUCGCCUGCGUGCACGUGCCCUGUGAGUCAGGAGGGCCCCGGCCUUCGGUGUCACAGGUUUGAAGCUCGACUCAUUAGUAAUUUAAAGGCCGCUUCCAUGUUUGCUCAUAUCAAUUAUUCGCUUCAUUUUUUUGGGAGGGGAGGGGCGGGGGUUGUUCUUACAUACUCCAAACACAAUCCAAGAUAGGGGCUCAAAUAAUGCCAAACAAAACAAUCCUUCAAUAUAAGAAAAGUAAUUUAAGCGAUGUAGUUGAAGGUGCAUCGACUGCAGAGUUGGCGGAGGAAGGUGGCUGAGACUGGUGUUGGUUUCAUCCCACUUUAAUGCCAUGCAUUCCAUUAUGCAAUGUAGUAGACUUGUCCGUCUUCAUCUGAGCUGAAGGGCAUAUUGCCAUUAGCAAGCCCGAGGAACUCCCUAUCCAUGUGCUGCUGCAAAGAAAGAGCCACGCAGGAGAGCUCGAAGCCACAAACUGACAUCACCUGCACGAAGCCGAGGCUGUCACAUCAUGUGCUACAGCGAUAUAUAUUUAAAUCCAGUUUUAUGUGAGGCAGUUAUCAACCCAGGACAGACCAGGUGCACAUUAUUGUGCAUGGUUGGACCGGUAACAUUACAACAAAAGUGUAAGACUCCAACAGAGAGGAAACAAACUCUUCAGCUGAAUAAACGCGUUUAACAGAUGAAUGUGAGGAAUUACAUUACAUUACAUUACAUGUCUUUUAGCGGACGCUUUUAUCCAAGGCGACGUACAAUACACCCAGUCUCCUCCCAUGACAUCAAUCUCAGGACACGGACAUUAGAUGGCGCUUCCCAAACUACUACUAUGACUAAUGCGCUCCGUCCACCUCUGGUUUUAAUCAGACACACCUUUGAAAACAGAAAGCCAAAAAUCCUGACUGUGACGUAAGGUCAAGAACUGCGAGGAAGCUUUGGGAGAAACCGCAUGCUGUACAGAUUAACAUGUUGUUCCAUUGCCAAGGUCAGCCUGCUAUGCAAAACUUCUCUUCUCACACUCUACCAAUAUUUACCUAGGGAGUUUCAACAUACCAGGGAGACGGGGAUACAGGUAAACACAGCUAUGGAGCACCAGAGACCGCCAGUCUCCAGGUAACCGACCCCGGCAUGUAGAUGUCCUUAUCCCGAAGGGGAUUCAUUCCUCUAAAAUGCUGUUUUCUGUGCUGAGAUAAGGUCAAGACUGGCGGGUUGUUGCGCACCAGCGCUGUGGAAUGUACAAUGACAUCAAACUGUGAGCAAUGUUUGACUUCAGGUAAUAGUAAAAGCGUUUGCCCUGUGAACACAGAUCCCAGUUUGGGUCACACUGCUUUUUUAGAGUAAACCAUGCAUUAGCAGUGAAAAAAUACUUUAUAACAGAGAUUGAAUCUAUAAGGGGUCACUCAACACGGGAAUAUAACUGACCCCAAGAAGAUACACAAGGAAGGAUUAAGAUAUAAGUGAACAUGUAUGAGGAGGAACAGAGGUGGUCAGGCAGAGUGCUUUCUUUUCCUCACAGGCAUCAAAGAUACAUUUCAUUUUAUGCCGGUGCAGCGGUUCACCAAUACAGAUUAAUUAUAGCAUUAGUGAUGAGAAACAGAAUUUUGUGGGGGUGUUUAAUCUUUAGAGAAGAAGACCAAACCACAUUAAGAAUGGGUUUAGCACAAUUAUGGCAUGAUAUUGUGUAAUGUCCUCACUAAAGUUUAUCCCACGAUACGACUCUAUGAAAAAAGUCAUCGGCAUAUUUCUGUAUGAAUAGAGACGCCAAAUGUCUGAAAUUUUCAAAUGUAACAAAAACCUUGCCUGAAAGAAAAGAGAAAAAAGUUUUGGAUAUAAGUAAGAAAGUACCUGAAUAUUUGAUGGACAGUGCUGAACGAUACCUAAAAUGGACUGAGGGUCGAUACCCGGCCCUAAAUGUGCGCAUUCACAACACAGAGAAAGUAAAGUAUCGGUUUGUGUUGCGUGUGGAUCAAAUGUCUGAGGGUGGGCCCCUCAAUGAACCUGAUUUACAGUGUAAUGGGGAGAUGUCACACGGGGGAGGGUGUAUGGACAGUCAAGAUAAGCAAGAAAAAUAAAGGUAGAAGGGCAGAGUGCAGAUUUACGGCUAAUUCACAGUAUUCUAGGAAGUCCUCUGGGACCAUGGAGGUCUCUGUCUGUCGUUUCCAACAUCACUGGAGGGGGGAGGGGGGGUGAUCUUUGAACAAGAGGCUGGACAAUAAAGCACAAAGAGGAGUGUUGGUUAAAGCGUGAACAUUCAGCGGCAGGCAGACACUAACACCCAACCUGAAAUAUGUCAAAAGAAAACUGACCACACGGUCAUGAUGGUUGUUUCUCACAGAGAAAAUAACCAAAGGUCUUUCAGAACAGGACAUGUCUCAUGGAGGACGUUUAUCUGAAGUGUAAAACCUGGGGCACUUCAUGUUCAGGAUGCAGGUCGAGGCAGAGAAGCAUCUCUGCAAACCUGCGACUUGGAGUUCACCUCUACGGGCACCAGAAGCGCUCGCUCCGGUCCGUUUGUCACUGCGUCGCGGGGCGCGACGACACAGAAUCAUCUUUAGUUAUUCAGUAAGAGCUUUUUUCUGUGUCUCCUAAAAAAAACCUACCACCUCCAUCCUGUCAUAUGCUGUGACGUUUUAAUUACUAAUGCUUUAAUAUUAAGCAAAUGUUUGAACUUUCAGGAUAUCCUACAAUUUAAACCUAAAAGUUGGCAGAAAUAACCUGGGGCGGUGCUUAUAUCCUACAUUUUUUAUAUUCAUUGCAAAUAAAUAUUUUAGACAAAACCAAUAUGUUAAUUUAUUGCCGUUCCGAUCCUUGCCGCUCCCUACUGCUCUCGUGCCCUCCUGCUCACCGCUGUGCGCCACGUAACGGAAGCUGCCGUCUUCCCAUUUGCUGGCUUUGCUCCUGACGUGCUUGAUCAAACACAUCUGCAUCCAGCGGAGGGUCCAACGUCAAGCCUCUCAGCGCCAGGGACGAGCCUGCCGACUCCACCUGCCGCUCUCCUCCCCAGUCUGUUGAUUUAGUAUCGCGGAGCCCCGAGGCGUACAUUUUUUCCUUCUUUGUGGCGUCUUGACCCCCCCCCACGCCCUAUCCCCCGUCACCCCAACCCAGCACCGCCCCGUGGCCCUGUCCGGAGGCCCUUGGCUGCGGCACCAUGUUAUUUACUGCCCAGAGAGCUCUGUGUGCAGAGAGUCAACACGGCAUGGCUGGUUGAGCAUGGGAGCGACCUGCAAACACCCUCACAGCACAGUCACAUGACCAUCCCACGGGGCUGGCAGAGGUGUUUACCCGCGCUACAUUUACCACACACGGUACAAUUGAGAGCCAUGGACAGAGAGAGAGAGAGACAAACAGAUACGGACAGACUAAAAAAGCCCGGCAACUACAACCUGCCUGUGGUUUCAAACUGUUACAAAAGGAGCACAGAAGUGAAGCUUUGGGUUUGACGAGGUGAUGGAGCAAACACCCGUGAAGGCUGAAGUUCAAACUGACCAGACAUGACAGCGUUCACUCAGGUGAACUUUACUUUGUUUUAUGACAAUACAUCUUGAAUAUCUUAAGUUAAGUGAAAAGGUCUUGAAAACAUCUAGUUUUGAGUCAUAUGUCAUAUGAAACAAGCUUUUUUGACUUUUGAAGAGAUUUUAAGCUGCUGUGUUGGUUGCAAAAGAUAAAUCGUCUUGUUUCAGGAAUUAGACUUUUUGGAUUUUUUUGGAAGAAAAUAUAUCUUGUUUAAAAGAAAUCCUUAAGUUUCAACGGAUUUGGACAAAAACUCAAAGUUCUGGAGUCUCUGCGGUUUGCCUUAUGGUGAUCACAAGACUAGGGAUUCCCAGAAUGUUGAACUAUUCUUUCAAUCAAGUUUUUCAGCAUCCACAAAAAUAUUGGCUUGAGCUAGGUAGGGAACUUCUUCCUUAUAAGAUAAAUAAUGAUCAUUCCACUCAUUUAUAGAGAGAGGCUGGCAUUCAAAACAAUACAGUGAAGAAUUUACUAUGUAGAUGUUUUUCACAAGUCCAAACUCUGGAGUACUAUUGAUGACACAUACAAAUCUCACAUCUAUACUUAUUUCCAUGUUGCAUUAUCCACUUUACCAAAACUAUAUGUUGAAGGUGCUGUAUUUCUAAGAAGUCUUUAAUCUUUCCUUCUACGUAGUGAAUAUUUUUAACCUCAGAGACUGGGCCCAUAUCAACUUCACUUGAAAAAAAUGGAUGUGUCUCAUGCACAUUCUGACUACAUUCAUGCAUGCUCUUUAACAAAACCAGCAUCUGCCCUGCUGACUGUUUCAGUUUAUUGUCAUUUGAUGACAGUGUAUUGACCGAUAUGGGGCAAGGCUUAUCUCUUGCAUCCAAAAGAGAGUAUGGGAAACCAAUAAUUGCACUGUUGAAUGCGUCUAACUCCAUAUGCCCUGAAAGCACAAGAUGCUGUAAAACACAUUUGAUUUCAUAUGGGGCAACACCUUCAAGAAUAAUAUGCAUUAUGUCUUGUGGAGUUUGAUUGAUUAUAUCAAAGUGAUGAAAUUCUGUUAAUUUGCUUCUCCUAUUAAUACCAUAUGUCAUUUUUAGAUUUUCUUUCAGAAAGUCAGUGCUUGCUUUUUCAAUGUCUCUACAUUGUCGAUAUGACUUGUCAUGGUCCUUUCAACAAACAAAUCUUCAUUCAAUUGUUCCUACGUGUCGUCAAAGUUGCAUUCACAGUGUCUGCAUUUACUGUAAGCAAACCCUACUCCUUCCUUAAAUCCAGCCACUUCAUGUUGAGCUAGAGUGUCUCCACACACAGUCAUAAGCGCCCAAAAAAUUGUCUUCUCACCCUUUGCAGUAACAACUUUUAACACAUCAUACAGCUCAAUCAAGUCACAAUUAAUGCUCUCAAGCACCUUAUCAAUACCACAAUCAGAAAUAUCUUUUGAUUUUACCAUGGCAAGCAGACGAAUGGCAGCAAGUCUUGAUCUGUAUUUAGGGUUGAUGUUACCUAAGGUGUAAUAAAUCAAUAACAAUUUGUUUUUGUUUGCCCGAGAUCCAAGAGGAUUGCACAAUUCAAUUUCAUUUGUAUAUGAAAUGAAUUGCAAUGCUGUGGGAACUCUCAAAAACAGUGGGUGUGAUUUAAAAAUGUCUCCAUCAAUUAAAUCGUGAAAAAAUCCAUCCGGGCAUGGCUGUGGCCCCUGUUCAAUUAUUGCAAGAACUCUUGGAUGCAUUAACAGCUGUUCCAAACUUUUCAACAAUGGUAUAUAAUAAAAGUAAUGGUGUUUAAUGGUAAGAACUCUCAUAACAAACCGUUUGACACUACAUUUUUAUAUAUAAUCGUCUCUGGUUCAACUGGCUGUAACAGUUCGUUGAUUGUCUUAUCCUGCAAAUGUGUUGUAGCGAUUUGACUGAAAGGGUCAUUAAACUGGUCAAAUACUCCCAUCACAUCACUCUUCAGUUGACCAAGGUCCCCAGAAUGUGUCUGAAUCAUGUUAUGUUAUGCACUCUAUACUCACUAGGACAGCCAUCAAUGCCACACACCACGCGAAAGUCAGGGCUGCGACUGUGUAAAGAGUUGAUGUGACUCAAUGUUUUUCAGUGUAAACGCCACAAAAAUAUAGCAUAUGAAACAACGGCAGAUCAUCUUGGAGGAGCAAGGUUCCUAACGUUAAGGCGAGUGCAGCAAGCCAACACGUUAUAUCCAGCCCGGUAGAAAUUACCGGUAGUUUAUCUAUUUUAAAUGUGGGGUGUAAGUUCUUAUUUAGUUAUCUUUACAGAAUAAUUAAUCUGAAAUGGGCAACAAUUUAGUCAAGCUAUACACAAUUAUAACAAAUAUAUAUUUAUACAUUCUUAAAAACACCCCAAAACUAGUUGUUUUUAAUUCAUUUGAAAAAAAAUAAUUACUGCCAUAAACCCCUGUUUUGUAAAUGGUAGCAGUCUAUGGCUCAGCAGUGGGAAGGCUGUCCCGCUAUUUUACGUUAGGCCUCAUUAAAGAUUAAACAAAUUUUCCGUCUGAAAAACAACGCGUUUUAUUCAGAAUCUAAGUGAGCAUAAUACAUUCAGCCGUUCUUUAAAGAAGUGAGACAUCACCUGUUUAUCGUGUCUGUUGAAAGUUGGGCAUGCGCAGUAUGGAACACACACGGCUCACUGGAGGGAACGUUACAGUUCCGCAAUAAAGCUGCCUCGUCCGAGACGGUUUGAAUUCGUAUUUCAUUGCAGGUUAAGUUGUAUCGAAUAUCUCAGUUUUUUUAAUCCGAUAAAUUUUAAAUAUUAUAUUUAAUAUUAUUUGUUGUGUGCACUGUUGCAGCCGAGCACGGUUAGCUAGCUAACUUGCUAGCUAACGUUAGCUAACUAACUUGCUAGCUAACGUUAGCUAACGUUAUUUAACUUGCUAGCUAAAACUGCUAACAGCAUGGACGAACUUGAUGACGUCACGGUGUCGACUUUAAGAGGUAACGUAGUCAAAUAUACAUUUUUAACGUGGUUAUUAAUUUUACGUCAUAUUUAUUAUGCACCAGUAACACCAAGACAAAUCCCUAGUAAGUAAAAACCUACUUGGCAAUACUUAUGAUUCAACAGAGAGGUUAAGAUCAGCUAAAUUUAAACAUAUUAAGACUUGCAGUCCUCUCUAAAAUCGGUAACUCUUAAUUCUGAACAAAUUUGAAUGAAAUUGGUUUUAUUAUAAAUUGGAUAAAUUGAACUUUAUAUUUGUUUCAAUUAAAUCCAGCUACUACUCCGUUCUAUUAUACUAAAACAUUCUGAAUAACCACAACUUAAAAUGUAUGCUUUUAUGAGUUUCGAAAAAAUGUAGAUUGCUAUAUACAUUCAGUAAAUUUGAAUUAAAAUUGCUUCAGAAUUAAGAGAGUUACGACCGAUUAAAAUGUUUAAUUCACCACUCUGAUGUGAUGCACAGUCCACUGAGGUAUGUCAUUUCUUUAUCCAUUGUUAAUGCACUAACUAGUUGGCGCUAGCCAGCUGUCUCAUACAGUUUGGCUGUUCUAUGGCACUAAUUCAUCCUGCAAUGUAUGCUUUACAUUAUGUCACAGCUGCAAAUGUAAGUGAAGAAAUGAUCAGCUCUCUGUCUCGUGAAGACCUGCGGGACCUUUUCCCAGGGCCAGAGGAGUUCUUGCAACAAAAAGCGGUCUGGCAAAUCUGUCAUGGUGUUUCGGAAGAGGAAACUAGACUCAAAAUCAACGAGCAGAAGUUUAAUUCAAUGAAUGGGUCACCCCUACCUCAGACAUCCACUCCAGUAAAAAGAUGUCCUGCAAAGCACACACCUGAAAAGGUUGUUAAGUUAUACUUCCCAGAAUAUGUAUUGCACACUGACACCGAACUAGAGCAAUGCCGAAAACAAUAUUUUGAGUUGGCGAAGACCGGUGAAGAGAGAAACUGCCAAAUGUCAAAGGACCUCAGAUGUCGGCUCAUCCGAAACACCAUGACCAGUAUGAUUGCAAUCCUGAGGGCAACGGGGGACGGCGACAGAUACCCGUCAAAGCCAGAAAUAACAGCUAUGGCAAAGCGAAUAGUGCUGUACUACCCCAUGCUGCAGGACCGAGACCUGAGCAGCAAGAAUGCAUGGGUUACUGUGUACUCACAGCUAUACAAAAGAUUGCAAAAUGUGAGAUCACCCCAAAAGACCAAUCCAAAGAGGCGCCGACUCGAGGAGCCAAAGUGCCAACCUGAGCUGCUAAGUGACCCAGAUGAAUAUGAUUCAAGUGACCCAACAGUCAUUCUGGAUCUCCCCUCAAAAGGGGGUAGCAUUCAAGCAUUCAAGACUGCCCAUCUGAAGGGAGUAGCACCCCAGACUCAAGCAGCAAUGCCAGAUGUGAGUUCCAACAUUACAUUUACAAAUUUACCAUUGUGUAGUGUUCAUAUUUUACACUUCUUUUGUUUGGAAGACUAAUAAACUGGAAGACUCAAACUAAUUGCUACCAUAUUCUUUCUAAAGUUACUAAUUUCUAUGAAUUAAUGCCAUGUAUUUAAUUAUGUAUAUUUCUGUCCUUGCCGCUAAGAUGCGGCAUUGACACUCCAGACACUGACAGUCCAGCAACUAUGGCCAAGCAUUACAGAACCCUACAAUCUUUGUGUAAGAAGAAAACUCCAAACCGUGAGUCCGUCUCUCAGCUUCUGGAUUUGAAAUCUUCAGCCAGAAGAGAAUUCAUUGACUCUGAUUCUUUUUGCGAGGAGGACAGACACAAGAAAAUUCUGGAGGACAUUGGACAUGUGAUGGAGGAGCUUCAACGCAUUCUGGACAAAAAUAACAUCUAUUACAUUGAUGAGCUGAAGGGAAGAUGGGACGACUUCUGCCAGAAGGUGCAGUUUUUUGGUGUGUGGAAAAAGCUGCUGAAACCCCCAGUAGGAAUGGACAAAGUUGAACAGGCUGUCAGUAUCCUACGUGUGCUACCUUCAUUGUUCCCCUCUUCAUCUGCUCCUCUGAAGAAGUUAGGACAUGUGAGUGAGGCUCUUGUGCAUGUCCUCGAGGAAAAAGAAGACCCCAAUGACUAUUUGAAGAAACGUCGUCUCUCCUGCCCGGUCCUUAUUGUGAGUUUGUCCAACUGCCUCCUGGCUGUAAGAGAUGUGCCGAUAACUACGCUCCCAAAAGACAAGGUUACACAGGGUGUUUUAUACCUUGUGGCCUACUAUUAUGCUCUACACUAGUUGUGCCCAACCAGUCGAUCGCGGUCUACCAGUCGAUCGCAGGCUGAGUUGCAGUCGAUCGCGAGAAAUUUUUGACCCCAGGACAUGAACAUGAACAUAACAGAUAGGGAUUUAAAUGGAUCCAAAGAUUGUCCCAUAAUGCAAUGCGCCUACCAGCGCACCCUAACGCACUACUGUAGCGACUCUUGAUAAUGGAACUCAAAUCAAAUUGAUGAUUUAACGGCCGGGGGGGGGGUGCAGACGAACACUGACGACGCGCUUUCUGCUCCGCUGAUGGGAGCGCGCGGACGUAUCCGCGCAGCGCGAUACCGAGCGCGUUGUAAACAUGUCCAUGGACAGGAAAGGGAACCUUACAUUACUGUUGUGUUCUGGCGCCCCUUUUUUUCAAUGGUAGUCUUCCAAUUUUUUUGGCGUGAGAAAUCGGAGGUGUGGCGUGAGAGCGCGUGAACCCGAUCAAAUGCGUGGGUCUCACGGCCAAUGCGUGAGAGUUGGCAGCCCAGGCUAUGGGCAAAGACUGGGCGGAGCUUGAGAGUGCACGUUAUGAUGAGCAAUCUUGCAGAGCAUCUUGUCAGAAUUUGACAGGCGCUUCACUGACUUUGCAUCCAUUGAGCCUGUUGUCAGCUUUCUCUGUUUUCCAUUUGAGGAAAAUGUAGAUGGGAUUGUAUAACGUCCAAAGUGGCAUCAUUCUUCAACCUGGAUAGCUGUGCUGUUGAGAAUGAGAUCCUCACACAGAAGAAUGACAUUGAGCUAAAAUCCAGAGCAACACCUGGCAUGAAUGUCCAAUUCUGGAAUCUAAUGCAGAAAGAGAAGUACCCUAACCUCAGACAAACUUCAGAGAAUUUGACUGCACUUUUUGGAUCAACAUAUUUGUGUGAGUCUGCCUUUUCACAUAUGAAAAUCAAAAUACAGAUCCACCAUGACUGAUGACCACCUUGCAGUCUGCUCACGGCUGGCACUCAGCUCUUACUGUCCGGACUAUGAGAGACUAGCUUCCUCCUCUCAGUGCCAGAAAAGGUAGAGAAAUGCCACUUUUCCAACUUGAAUUAGUUCUUAUAAAAGUUCAAAGAAUUAGGCAUUGUAUUAUUUGGGUUGUUUGUCUGUCGUGUUGUUACGGCCAGUCCUAGGCCUACUUGUGCUUAUUCUUUGCAAAUUCACAUUUACUUCAAUAAAUGUAUUAUGAUUGUUAAAACUGUAUCGAUGUGUCAGAAAACAGUGUCCUAUAUAGUUGCGCAAUAAAUUGUGGCUACGCUACGGCUUUCGAUAUGGCUUGGUAGAUCUCGAUACACUAUCAACUAAAAGUAGAUCUUGGUUCAAAAAAGGUUGGGCACCCCUGCUCUACACCUUACUUACCCCAGGUGCGUAGCCACUCUGCUUUCUGUCAUACAAACGGAGGUUCUCUUGGACACAAUCCAUGAGCGAGACCUCACACCAUCUUUCAAGGGCAUGGCUGACUGGAAAGCCUUUGUUGGCAAGUAAAGCCGUUUCCAUUCUUAUUUAGCAAAUGUUUCCUAAUGUUAAGGUCGCAAUAAUAACAAUGUUGUUGAUCUAUCGAGGGACACAGUCGUCAAAUAUUUAUGUUAAUGUUAGCCCAAGACCCUUAACUUGUUGCAAUAAUAAGCACUUUGUAAGUGUAUUGAGGAGACAGAUGUCAGAUGAUCAUGUCUGACUAUAAUCCAUGUGUUACACAUAUAUGCCAUGUUUUGCUAUGUUUUUUUUACUAUUAUUAGUAUUUUAUUACAGUGCCAUACACACUGCGCCAAAACAUGACUGGUCCUGCAGGCACAGUGUAACUGACUAACUGCACUGUAUUGUAAGAAUUGUUUGCUCCCUCCUGCAUUUCAGAGCUGAAGAGGUGUGCUUUCUUAUGCAAAUAAAAUAUUUGUUUGUUUAAUGCA